GACGAACGCUGGCGGCUUGCCUAAUACAUGCAAGUAGAACGCUGAAGAGAGGAGCUUGCUCUUCUUGGAUGAGUUGCGAACGGGUGAGUAACGCGUAGGUAACCUGCCUUGUAGCGGGGGAUAACUAUUGGAAACGAUAGCUAAUACCGCAUAACAAUGGAUGACACAUGUCAUUUAUUUGAAAGGGGCAAUUGCUCCACUACAAGAUGGACCUGCGUUGUAUUAGCUAGUAGGUGAGGUAAUGGUUCACCUAGGCGACGAUACAUAGCCGACCUGAGAGGGUGGUCGGCCACCCUGGGACUGAGACACGGCCCAGACUCCUACGGGAGGCAGCAGUAGGGAAUCUUCGGCAAUAGGGGCAACCCUGACCGAGCAACGCCGCGUGAGUGAAGAAGGUUUUCGGAUCGUAAAGCUCUGUUGUAAGUCAAGAACGGGUGUGAGAGUGGAAAGUUCACACUGUGACGGUAGCUUACCAGAAAGGGACGGCUAACUACGUG
rnacentral:rRNA from 1 species